GUCUCAGUUCGGAUCGCAGGCUGCAACCCGCCUGCGUGAAGCCGGAAUUGCUAGUAAUCGCGGAUCAGCAUGCCGCGGUGAAUAUGUUCCCGGGCCUUGUACACACCGCCCGUCACACCAUGAGAGCCGGGGGGACCCGAAGUCCGUAGCCUAACCGAAAGGGGGCGCGGCCGAAGGUAAAACUGGUGAUUGGGGUGAAGUCGUAACAAGGUAUC
rnacentral:rRNA from 1 species